GAGAGCCAGAGGUGGAAACUCCACAUAUGGCCACCAGGGGAUCUGGUUUGAGGUUUUCAAAUGCUUGAAGUGACUCCUGACAUGGUUUGGCUAUGAAAUUCAUCUGCUUAAAGCUGAAGGGAGACAAACUCUGAGACAGAACCCAGCAGGCCUGUCCAGCCCUCGGAGGAAGGGCCCCCAGGAACUGUCUGUCGGAGGGGCCGGGAAGGACAAGGCCACUGGCACUGGAGUCCAGGAAAAAGCCACAGACACAGGCUUUAUUUGACCGUGACAUCAUGAACAAGAGCAAAACCCUGCACUGCGGAAAUUUACUCCAGAGCUAACAAGGAACCCACAGAGUGCAUCGUCUCCAGGGACCCAGAACAUUGUGGGUAGUUAGAAAUUCCAAAGAUGAAAACAGACAGUUUUCCCUGCUCCAUCACCCCCCGCCCACCCCGCACACACAGAGAAAGAAACCAGACACUCAGCCACUCAAGAGGUAAGUUUAGAUGUUUAAGAUUCAAAGAAAUAAAAACUAUUUAUUUUAGAAUCUCAGUUGUUAUUUUACAGAAUUAUAGGCUGUUAGAGCUGUAAAGAAAGGGUCACUAGUGACUCUGCACUUCCCUUGAUGGCCACGUCAAACAAGGCCCUGAGGCCUGGGGCUGGUUGCAUUUUAGCCCCACCACUUAUCAGCUGUGUGACCUUUAGCAAGUGACUUAACCUCUCUGUGCCUCAGUGUCUCCUCUCAAAGGUCAGAAUAAUUAUACCUUCUACCUUGAGUUGUUGAGAGGCGUAAACAGAAUAAGCAUUUAGCCCAGUGGCUGGCAUCUAGCUGGUGAUACAUAAAUGUUAGCUAUUCUUAUUAACACCGUUAAAGACAUUCAGCUAUAAUCAGGCAGUGGGUUACUGGCAGGCUUGGUGCAGAACAGAAGGCAAUGCCUCCUGUCCAUCCCGUGCCCUGGUCUGGCUGUCUCUGGCAGGAAGAAAUCCUGUUUGUGUUACAGUUGUUGUCUGUAUUCCAGUCAUUUUGGAAUGGCUGGCCAGGCACAUGCUCAGUGGCCCCGUCUGAGCAAGUGUGGAACACAGUCAGUCGGCAGCUGCAGGAUGAUCAUCUGCAGUCAUUUGCUGACAAAGAUGCUGAGUAAUGAACUAAGACAUUUGUUUUUGAAAUGAUCCAUUUUCUUCAGCCUUGUCGUAGUCAGGGGCAGGAAGCUACUCCAGCUAUGACUAAAACUUGCCAGGCCCUGUACAGUUAAUAGCAUCUUUGCUUAGGGUGAUUGCUGCCUCACAGGGAAAGUGGAUCACAAGGAGAAUAAGACACGGAGGUAUCUUCAUGGUCAAAUUUAUGCUCAGUUAUCCAGGGAUUUGGGACAGAUUUAGGUGUCUGCUGGCUCGUUCACUUUUGGAGGUCUUGGGUGUUUUUCUCUCCAUGGGGCAGUCUCAGAGGUUAGGCCCUUAAUGAAUGUUUAGUGAACAGAAUUGAAAACUCUUCCCACAGCUGCACCAGUUUAUUCAAAGUAAAUCAUUAUUUCACACUAUAUUGGUAAAUAACAAGUGGUCCCAAUUUAUAUUCCUGGAUAACUGGGUAAGCCCCCCUUUCAUGUUGGCGCUGUGGUGCUUUAUUUAAGAAGGAGAAUGCCCCGUUGCUGGGCCGACAGGUGCACUGCUGAGGAACCAAGUGUCUUAGCUCUCAGCAGCCCCUCAUUCCGACUUCAUGACAAGCGCUAAAAAGCACACAGGUGUUGGGCAGAACAAACUCCUUAUUUCCAGCUUGCUUAUUUUUCUAGUUCAGAAUUUCUUCGGAGAAAGCCAUGCUCGAGUCCAGCCACUGGUUACGUUGUGCAAUCCACUGGGACGGCAAUCACCUCAUUGUUUAGUUACAACCCAUGAAAAGAUGAAGCAAAGAAAGAAAAAAGCAGAGCACACACAUAGGGAAUGAGGGUGGAGGCUGCACGAUGAUAAUGAAAACCAUUUGUUAGCAUUUCACUCCUUUCUUUGUGAAUCAGCCGAGUUCCUGGCUCCAGGCCUCUGUCUGUGAAACACAGCUGCCCUUCCAAGGCCUUCCAGGGGCUCAUCCGCCAUAUCUGGUCUAGAGUGUCACCCUUUGUCCCCAGGAAGGCGGGUGCUUGAAUGGCUGCCCCAGCUCCCUCUGGGCCCAGCUCUGGCCCUCACCUUCUGUCCCAGGGCACCUACCCCUCCUGUGUGAACGUGCCCGGCCUCGGUGCCUUUUAAGCCCUGCCUGAACCGGAUUUGGUGCACUUUGUGUAUGCAGGGCUCUCCUCUUUGCCUGCAUUGUGUCCACCCGUCUGUGUCCAGGACUUGCAGCCCCAGCUUUUUUUUUUUAAUUACUUCUACUUUUCUUUCUUUCAGCAGACCUGAUUUCUCUAUUCCCAAAAUACAGACUGAAACAUUUUUAAGGAUAAAAACCAAAAAUAAAUAAAAAUUUAAAAACAAAGCAUAAAACAAGCAAAAACCUUUCAACAACUGCCCCCCCCCCAAAUUUACAGCCAGUAGAACAGUAUAUGUCUGCCUAAGCAUCUCUGUUUUGCUUGCAUUGUCCCCAAGAGAGGAAGCACCUCGAAAUGCACAUGUUGUAGUUACAGGCAGAGACCAGCACCAGAUGCUCUGUGCACUUGUGCUCAUGAAGUCCUAGUACCUAAGUGCCCCACCGCCCUCUGCCUACUUCUCGAAUCUAUCACAGCAUUUAUACAAGUCUCUUAUUCAGAGCCAUAGAGCAUGGAAGCAUUAUGUUCAACCGUCACCACCACCACCACUAUCUCCACCACCAUGACUGUCAUUUCCACCACCUUGGCUGCCUGCAUCGCCAUGACCACCACAACCUCCUCUAUCCUAUCAUCACCC